GGGCACAUGGUGUAGUGGUACAUACCCGGGUUAUUCGUCUCAGUAUCCGGCGGCCACGCCGACCCGAGGAGUAGCUGGUUCGAUUCCAGCUGUGUCCA